rnacentral:misc_RNA from 1 species
CCCACCAACACAUACGAUACAAAAACGAAAACGUUCGCGAAUAAAAAACGAGGGCGGUGGACAAUAUUGUUUCCUGCCUCAUUCGGCUCACCCUCCUCGUCGUCGUCCCCGUCCUCGUCACAGCUCACACUGCUGGCUAUCUCCCUCUCCCGCUCAUCUAUCGUGCACGCCGCUGCAACCACAGCAGGCGUACUUGCUACGCGUACACGCGCGCGCGCCACAGCGACGCAUAUAUGCUGAGAGUCACAGCGGCAUUCGAAGCAAGGGCGCACUUUGGGCAGUAGCGGGGCGGCAACAAAGGACAGCUCCGCCGUCACGCUAAGCUCGUCGUAGAGCGUUCCAACUCCGUCGCUGAGCCAUCCCCCCGCGGAUCUCUGUAUAGAAUGACAAGUAACGUCCUGGUUACCGCGCCGCUCUCGGAGACCCCGUCCUUCGUCUCCCAGGGGGCGUCGCAGCCUGCUUCGGCCGCGAAGACGAAUCGCGGCCCCUCAAAGUUCAGCUCGUACCUGUCCACCCACACCGACGAGGAGCCGCCUGAGCAGCGCUCUCGCAGGGCAGAGGAUGUCGAGGCGGCAGCACAAGCGCACCAACAGCAAGGUGGUGCGAGCAUCUACGAGGCACCACCAGUGCCCGUGACGCGCGGACCGGGACACACACCCCGCGGGAGGACACGAGAAGGAAGCCAGCCGCCGCGGAGGCUGCCAAGCCGCACCUCGUUUCGCCACGGCACACCACGCGGGCGUGGAGACGACGUGACAACGACGCUGAUCCCAAAGCCGCAUAACCCGCGUGUGAACUUGGUGUCACAGGCGUCCAUUGCGCCGAGCGACACCUCCGUCCACUUCCUCGUCGAUGAAGAGCAGACCGACGCCAAAAGCAUCUCGUUCCAGGCAGAACCCUCCACGAACAACUUCAACACCACAGAGGUGAGCCUCAACCUACAAACAAUCACGGAAGGCAGCGACAUCCACUUCGUCGUCGAGCAAUCCCGCCUGCCGUCGCAGGCGGUGGCUUUGAAGCAGGGCGGCACCCCCACGACCAGAUCGAGUCUGUGUUUUGAAGUCGAAUCGACGAACGACGCGACUCGCAACAGCACCAUCAGCCGCUUCUCCAUUGAGGGAAACGAGCCGGAACAGAAGCCGCUCGUCCCGACCUCCCACCUCCGCGUCGAGCAUAAAGACAACAGCGCUGAGAAAGUGGCGCCGGCCAUGGUGGAGAAUGCGAGGGAGCCACAGAUCGAGUUUGUUGGCGAGACGGAGGAGCAGCGACGCGCCAAAAAGGCCGAGGAGGAGCGGCGCAAGCAGGUGCUUAAGGAGCGUAGCCUGUACAUGAGCAUCCGUCCGUGGUCGACCAACGAGCCCGAUCGGCGCGCCCGACGCACAAGCAGUGAGAGCGCCGCCCACGCGCUGAAGCAGCAGCUGCACGAGAAGAUGGCGGAGGUCGAGAAGCGCCGGCGCGCGAUGUACGCACGUCCGUGGCGCACCGACAGUGCCAGCCCGAAUACGUCGCGCUCAGCCAGUCGCACGAAUCGGAAGCGCCGGUUCACGCCGCUGAGCGGGCGCAGCGGCGACGGAGUCGCCAUGUCUGAGCUGCCGGCGACGGAGUCUAAGAGCAUGCAGGCGGGCAACAAGAGGGCCCCUGCCGCCCUCGCCGCAUGCUCGUACUCCUCGUCCCUGUCCUCUGAGGAGCGGUCAAGCCCUACCGCGCCGGCGUACGACUGCGUCGAGGCCGCUAAGUUUGUCACGCCAGCACCGGUGCUGAAGACUCCACUAGAGAUCGUAUGUGAGGAGUUCGAGGACUGGGUGCACACGGUCAACCAGAGGUGCAACCUGAAAGCAAUCGCGGAUAUGAUGCGGGCGCGCGAGCGCACGAUUGUGCAGCUGUCGAGCCAGCUAGAGGAUCAGAGUCGCGUGAUGAAGCGGCUGAACAAGGAGCUGUACGACGCUCGCGACGAGUACAUGCGGCACCUCGGUAAUGACGUGACGGGGUUGGCGCUGCAUGCCCCGCGCAGCCGGGCGACGUCCCGGUCGCCAGGCCGCAUAAGCACCAGCCGCACACCUAGCGUCGUGCGCCUCCACGUGGAGCAGCGGCACCGGGCGAAGGACUACUAUUCCAUGAAGAUGCAGCAACUUGGCCCCCGGCCGGUGAGUGUGCUGAGUGAUGACGAGCUCUCCGAUAGCGAGAAGGAGGUCUAUGCGCAGGAACUGCAGAGCUGGCGUGUCGAGCGCGCGGCCCUGCGAGACGAGAAGGCCCGCUUGGUGCACUGCCGCCGCGACCUCGCCUUUCAGAUGCGCCGCGGCAGCAACAUCAAGGACAUCGCCACUACGCAACCCACGAGCGGGCGUGGUCCGCUAGAGCGCGCAGCGACGGGCACAGAGACUGCCGUGGAUGUGAAAGGGUACGACCGUCUGAUGGAUCUUCGCAUGCGAGCUCAGCGCGCCGUCGUUGAGACAGCAAAUGCCAAGAAGGUGUACGAGGCGACGCUGUGCAUGGCGGCCACCAUGAAGAAGCAGCACGACCCCUCCUCAGCAGAGCUGAAGGGCGCGAAGGAGUCACGGAGGAAGGCACGAGAGCUGUACGCCGCGUCGCUGCAGAGGUUGCAGCAGUCUGCGGAGGAGGCACGGUCGCUGCUGGAGCGGGCCACUGCGCUGAAAACGCGUCGCGAGAAGGCGGCAGAGUCGCUUGAUGAGAGCGUCCGGGAGGAUCAGGUGGACUACGGCGACGCAGUUCUUGCCGUGCGCUUGCAGGCGGACCGUGCCCAAGCGCUCGCCGAAGCCGCUGCCGAUGAUGAGGAUCGCAUGCUGCGAUCGCCGAGCACAGUGCGGCUUGGGGUGUUGAGGGCAGGCACACCGCGUGGUAGCGUCAACGGCUCCAUGCGCCCCGGCACAUCGGCACACACCCGCGGAGCCAGCACGUCGAACGGCGACGACGUGUUUGCUCGACUGACGGAGCGAAGGUAGUAGAACACGCGCACCGCUGCACUUGCGCCAGCGGAGGCAACGGCGUUAGAGAGAGACUGGAGAUGGCAGAACAAGCGCAAUGCCCCUCGCCUUCUUCUUUUCUGGCUCGUUGCACGGUGUCGCGCGUGCGGUGCCCCCCCCCUGAGAGCGCUGCUUCGACGUCUUCGUCCUCGUGGGCCUCUUUUUGGGUAGAGGAGAAGAGGUUCAGGUGGGGGUGCUCACACGCGCAGGCGUGCUCGGCCCUGUCCACGUCUAGCGUGCACACCCGCUCUCCUCCUGCUGUCGGGGAGAGAGAUGGAAUCGCUGCGGUGUGGCCGCGCAUCGAUCGGUGUUGCUCAUGUCUGUUGCUUGCAUACACACUUGGCUCUCGCUCCCUUCUUCUGUUGCUGUGUUGUUUGCUUUCACCGCACGAGACGUGCGGUUCUGUGUGUCGGCAGAAAUAGAGAUGGGGAGGGGGGCUGUGAAUAUGCCGUGGAGACGUGCGAGGAGGUGGGGAGGGCUUAAGCGCGACGUGAAUUCCCUCUGUGGCGGAUGCAUCCGCCUCUUUCUUUGCUUCUCUCACUCUCACGCGGCCGGUGAGCGGUGCUGGCUCGUCUUUGUGAGCGUCACGCCGCUAACGCAAGUGUUGCGUUCACGGUGAUGUCCCCCGUCAUCACCGCCAACCCAAACCUCCCAUAUACAUAUGUAUGUAUGCAUAUGAGUGUGUGUGGUGUCCCUCGUUGUGCUUUUUCUUUUUGUGUUCUCUCGCCGUCUUGCUUCGUAUCGAUGAAGAGAUCCGUCGUCCCCUCCUCCUCUUCUGCCGAGUGUCUAUGUGUGUGUGGCGUAUGGGGGCCGCUGCCGUGGUGCUGGUUACCCCCUCACCGCACUGUACCCGCCCACCCACCCCAUCCCGGCAUAUGUGUAUGUGCGUGGGUGUGUCUCGGCGUAAGAACGAAGUCGAGCAUCCGUUGGAGCUCUCAUUGUCUUUUUUUCUGCCCCCCCCCCUCACCUCCCUCCCCUCCUCUGUUGUUGCCACUGAUACGGUGAGCGCGCUUCUUCAGCUACCUCUCUCCUUCUGUAUGUCUUUGGUCCCCCACGUUCGUUUGGGCCGAUGUGCUUGUGUUUAGAUGUGCGUUAAAGCAAGCGUGAGGCAACGCACACACACGCAGACGCACGCACGAAAAAGGCGCAAAAUCGGCGUUGAGCGAUACAGCAUGGAAGUAUAAAAUGGUGGAUGAGUGGCCGCAUGGCUACAGGCAUGCCCAUGUGCAGGUAUGGGCGCCAGGUGUGCUUGUGCGUACGGUGUAUGCAACCUCCAUCUCGUUGUUUUCGCGUGCGUGUGUGUGUGUGUGUGUGGCGCCUCACGCUUGUUGUUGCCACAUCCGUAAACUGUACCGCAUCCGAAUGGAGAGGCGAAGACGGACGCGGGAUGAGCCGCUGUCAUCUACGCACGCCGCUGCGUUUUGCUCUUGUGUAGCGUCGGGCGUCGAGCGAGCGCCAAGCAAACACAGACGGGGUAGACAUAUGAACAAGUCGCUUGCUCUCCAUUAUCCGCGUUCCCGCCCCCACCCCGACACGACUGCCACGCGUGUCGCUGUGCCACCAUCCGGCAUCUCGACCGUCGCCUUCCUUCUUUCUCUCUCCCCGUCGCCCCUUGCACAUUCGCGUGCAUCCUCCACACGCACACGCACACAUCGGCGCAUGCGUCACGCCGCACAG